UCGGGAAUUUUGGGCAAUGGGCGAAAGCCUGACCCAGCAACGCCGCGUGAAGGAUGAAGUAUUUCGGUAUGUAAACUUCGAAAGAAUAGGAAGAAUAAAUGACGGUACUAUUUAUAAGGUCCGGCUAACUACGUGCCAGCAGCCGCGGUAAUACGUAGGGACCAAGCGUUGUUCGGAUUUACUGGGCGUAAAGGGCGCGUAGGCGGCAAUUCAAGUCAUCUGUGAAAUCUCCGGGCUUAACUCGGAACGGUCAGAUGAUACUGCUUUGCUAGAGUGCAGAAGGGGCAAUCGGAAUUCUUGGUGUAGCGGUGAAAUGCGUAGAUAUCAAGAGGAACACCUGAGGUGAAGACGGGUUGCUGGGCUGACACUGACGCUGAGGCGCGAAAGCCAGGGGGAGCAAACGGGAUUAGAUACCCUGUAGUCCCUGAGCGGGCUGGCAAGGCGCAU
rnacentral:rRNA from 1 species